CCUACGGGAGGCAGCAGUGAGGAAUUUUGCGCAAUGGGGGAAACCCUGACGCAGCGACGCCGCGUGGAGGAUGACGGCCUUCGGGUUGUAAACUCCUGUCAGAGGUGAAGAAUCCCCGCAAGGGGUUGACGGUAACCUCAAAGGAAGCCCCGGCUAACUACGUGCCAGCAGCCGCGGUAAUACGUAGGGGGCAAACGUUACUCGGAAUUACUGGGCGUAAAGGGUGUGUAGGCGGCUGAGUAAGUCAAAGAUGAAAUCCCAUGGCUUAACUGUGGAAUUGUCUUUGAAACUGCUCGGCUUGAGGAUAGUCGAGGAGAAUGGAAUUCCCGGUGGAGCGGUGAAAUUCGUAGAUAUCGGGAGGAACACCAGUGGCGAAGGCGGCUCUCUGGUCCGAUACUGACGCUGAAACGCGAAAGCGUGGGGAGCAAACAGGAUUAGAUACCCUGGUAGUCCACGCCGUAAACGAUGGGCACUAGGUGUAGGAGGUAUUGACCCCUUCUGUGCCGAAGUUAACGCAUUAAGUGCCCCGCCUGGGGAGUACGGCCGCAAGGUUAAAACUCAAAGGAAUUGACGG
rnacentral:rRNA from 1 species